CCUACGGGAGGCAGCAGUGAGGAAUAUUGGUCAAUGGGCGCGAGCCUGAACCAGCCAAGUAGCGUGAAGGAUGACUGCCCUACGGGUUGUAAACUUCUUUUAUAAAGGAAUAAAGUGAGGCACGUGUGCCUCUUUGCAUGUACCGUAUGAAUAAGGAUCGGCUAACUCCGUGCCAGCAGCCGCGGUAAUACGGAGGAUCCGAGCGUUAUCCGGAUUUAUUGGGGUUAAAGGGAGCGUAGGUCGGGUGUCAAGUGAGUUGUGAAAGUUCGGGGCUCAACCCUGGACUUGCAGUUGAUACUGGCGUCCUUGAGUCCGCGUGAAGUAGGCGGAAUUCGUGGUGUAGCGGUGAAAUGCUUAGAUAUCACGAAGAACUCCGAUUGCGAAGGCAGCUUACUGCAGUGCAACUGACGUUGAUGCUCGAAAGUGUGGGUAUCGAACAGGAUUAGAUACCCCUGUAGUC
rnacentral:rRNA from 1 species